GAUGAACGCUGGCGGCGUGCUUAACACAUGCAAGUCGAACGGAAAGGCCCAAGCUUGCUUGGGUACUCGAGUGGCGAACGGGUGAGUAACACGUGGGUGAUCUGCCCUGCACUUCGGGAUAAGCCUGGGAAACUGGGUCUAAUACCGGAUAGGACCACAUUUUGGAUGGUGUGGUGGAAAGUUUUUCGGUGUGGGAUGAGCUCGCGGCCUAUCAGCUUGUUGGUGGGGUAAUGGCCUACCAAGGCGUCGACGGGUAGCCGGCCUGAGAGGGUGUACGGCCACAUUGGGACUGAGAUACGGCCCAGACUCCUACGGGAGGCAGCGGUGGGGAAUAUAGCACAAUGGGCGCAAGCCUGAUGCAGCGACGCCGCGUGGGGGAUGACGGCCUUCGGGUUGUAAACUCCUUUCGCUAGGGACGAAGCGUUAUGUGACGGUACCUGGAGAAGAAGCACCGGCUAACUACGUG
rnacentral:rRNA from 1 species